GACGAACGCUGGCGGCGUGCCUAAUACAUGCAAGUAGAACGCACAGUUUAUACCGUAGCUUGCUACACCAUAGACUGUGAGUUGCGAACGGGUGAGUAACGCGUAGGUAACCUGCCUGGUAGCGGGGGAUAACUAUUGGAAACGAUAGCUAAUACCGCAUAAUAUUGAUUAUUGCAUGAUAAUUAAUUGAAAGGUGCAAUUGCACCACUACCAGAUGGACCUGCGUUGUAUUAGCUAGUAGGUGAGGUAACGGCUCACCUAGGCGACGAUACAUAGCCGACCUGAGGGGGUGGUCGGCCACACUGGGACUGAGACACGGCCCAGACUCCUACGGGAGGCAGCAGUAGGGAAUCUUCGGCAAUGGACGAAAGUCUGACCGAGCAACGCCGCGGGAGUGAAGAAGGUUUUCGGAUCGUAAAGCUCUGUUGUAAGGAAAGAACGGGUGUGGGGGUGGAAAGUUCACACUGGGACGGGAUUUUACCAGAAAGGGACGGCAAACUACGU
rnacentral:rRNA from 1 species